AGUAUACAUAGUGAAUCAUCGAAUCUUUGAACGCAAGUGGCGCUCUCACGCUCGCGUGGGAGCAUGCCUCUUUCAGCAUCGGUUAUUCUAAACUCAUCUGCUUGCAGAUGGAGAAUGAGUUGUCGCUUAAGCUUUUUUAUCAAAGCCUGGGCGUCACUUAAAGUUGGGCGAGCUCAGUCGCAAGUUUCACUGAGAAAGUGACGUUGGUAGGUAACUAAGGCGCGUCAAACCGCCUUUUUACUUCACGCCGCGUCUGCUUUCGUUUGCAGGUGAAGCUGCUCUAUACAUAAAACAUAUAGAACGACUAGCGUAGGAGUAGUCUUUUUUGAUUUCCAAAGAAGUAGCUACUCAGCUUUAACGACUUGAUCUGAAAUGAGGUAAGAGGACCCGCCGAAUUUAAGCAUAUCAAUAAGCGGAGG
rnacentral:rRNA from 1 species